GUAGGGUGCGAGCGUUAAUCGGAAUUACUGGGCGUAAAGCGUGCGCAGGCGGUUUGGCAAGUCAGAUGUGAAAUCCCCGAGCUCAACUUGGGAACUGCGUUUGAAACUGCCAGACUAGAAUAUGUCAGAGGGGGUAGAAUUCCACGUGUAGCAGUGAAAUGCGUAGAGAUGUGGAGGAAUACCAAUGGCGAAGGCAGCCCCCUGGGAUAAUAUUGACGCUCAUGCACGAAAGCGUGGGGAGCAAACAGGAUUAGAUACCCUGGUAGUCCACGCCCUAAACGAUGUCUACUAGUUGUUGGUGGAGUAAAAUCCAUGAGUAACGCAGCUAACGCGUGAAGUAGACCGCCUGGGGAGUACGGUCGCAAGAUUA
rnacentral:rRNA from 1 species